AGGGUUGUGGCUCAGUGGUAGAGCACUUGCCUAGCAUGUAUGAGGCCCUGGGUUC
rnacentral:tRNA from 1 species